UACGUAGGGACCGAGCGUUGUCCGGAAUCAUUGGGCGUAAAGAGCGUGUAGGCGGCCACUUAAGUCCUGCGUGAAAUCUUGCGGCUCAACCUCGAGGCUGCUCCCGAAACUGUUCGCCUAGGGACUGGUAGAGGCUGGUAGAAUUCCCGGUGUAGCGGUGGAAUGCGUAGAGAUCGGGAAGAAUACCUGUGGCGAAGGCGGCCAGCUGGGCCAGAUCCGACACUGAGGCGCGAAAGCGUGGGGAGCGAUCCGG
rnacentral:rRNA from 1 species